rnacentral:rRNA from 1 species
CAGACUCCUACGGGAGGCAGCAGUGGGGAAUAUUGGACAAUGGGCGAAAGCCUGAUCCAGCAAUGCCGCGUGAGUGAUGAAGGCCUUAGGGUUGUAAAGCUCUUUUACCCGGGAUGAUAAUGACAGUACCGGGAGAAUAAGCCCCGGCUAACUCCGUGCCAGCAGCCGCGGUAAUACGGAGGGGGCUAGCGUUGUUCGGAAUUACUGGGCGUAAAGCGCGCGUAGGCGGCUUUGUAAGUUAGAGGUGAAAGCCCGGAGCUCAACUCCGGAACUGCCUUUAAGACUGCAUCGCUUGAAUCCGGGAGA